rnacentral:rRNA from 1 species
GAUGAACGCUGGCGGCGUGCUUAACACAUGCAAGUCGAACGAUGAAGCCCAGCUUGCUGGGUGGAUUAGUGGCGAACGGGUGAGUAACACGUGAGUAACCUGCCCUUAACUCUGGGAUAAGCCUGUGAAACUGGGUCUAAUACCGGAUAGGAGCGUCCACCGCAUGGUGGGUGUUGGAAAGAUUUAUCGGUUUUGGAUGGACUCGCGGCCUAUCAGCUUGUUGGUGAGGUAAUGGCUCACCAAGGCGACGACGGGUAGCCGGCCUGAGAGGGUGACCGGCGACACUGGGACUGAGACACGGCACAGACUCGUACGGGACGCAGAAGUGGAGAGUCUUGCACAAUGGGCGCAAGUCUGAUGCAGAGACGCCGCGUGAGGGAUGACGGCCUUCGGGUUGUAAACAUAUUUCAGUAGGGAAGAAGAGAAAGUGACGGUACCUGAACAAGAAGCCCCGGCUAACUACGUG